CGGCCGCCGUAACACAUGCAAGUCGAACGGAAAGGCCCUUUCGGGGGUACUCGAGUGGCGAACGGGUGAGUAACACGUGGGUGAUCUGCCCUGCACUUCGGGAUAAGCUUGGGAAACUGGGUCUAAUACCGGAUAGGACUACGCACUGCAUGGUGUGUGGUGGAAAGUUUUUGCGGUGUGGGAUGGGCCCGCGGCCUAUCAGCUUGUUGGUGGGGUGAUGGCCUACCAAGGCGACGACGGGUAGCCGGCCUGAGAGGGUGUCCGGCCACACUGGGACUGAGAUACGGCCCAGACUCCUACGGGAGGCAGCAGUGGGGAAUAUUGCACAAUGGGCGCAAGCCUGAUGCAGCGACGCCGCGUGGGGGAUGACGGCCUUCGGGUUGUAAACCUCUUUCACCAUCGGCGAAGCCAAAUGUUUUUGCGUUUGGUGACGGUAGGUGGAGAAGAAGCACCGGCCAACUACGUGCCAGCAGCCGCCGUAAAAC
rnacentral:rRNA from 1 species